rnacentral:sRNA from 1 species
ACGGAACCCUCGACGAACUACCCAGGGGACGAGGACGGGGGACCCACACGUCCUCUCGGAUAACCGGAAAGCGUUGCCGGGCAACGAUUUCCUUGGGGUGAAGCCCGACAGAUCCUCCGGAACGGUCGGGCCGGGCUACCUCUCAGCCCGAACCCGACAGCUGACCUCGCAGGCGCCAGUGGAGAGGAUUU